AAACCAGCACCUCAAGUGGUCAGGAUGAUUAUUGGGCCUAAAGCAUCCGUAGCCUGCUCUGUAAGUUUUCGGUUAAAUCUGUACGCUCAACGUACAGGCUGCCGGGAAUACUGCAGAGCUAGGGAGUGGGAGAGGUAGACGGUACUCGGGAGGAAGUGGUAAAAUGCUUUGAUCUCUCGAUGACCACCUGUGGCGAAGGCGGUCUACCAGAACACGCCCGACGGUGAGGGAUGAAAGCUGGGGGAGCAAACCGGAUUAGAAACCCCAGUAGUCC
rnacentral:rRNA from 1 species